rnacentral:rRNA from 1 species
GAUGAACGCUGGCGGCGUGCCUAAUACAUGCAAGUCGAGCGAACAGAUGAGGAGCUUGCUCCUCUGACGUUAGCGGCGGACGGGUGAGUAACACGUGGAUAACCUACCUAUAAGACUGGGAUAACUUCGGGAAACCGGAGCUAAUACCGGAUUAUAUAUUGAACCGCAUGGUUCAAUAGUGAAAGACGGUUUUGCUGUCACUUAUAGAUGGAUCCGCGCCGCAUUAGCUAGUUGGUAAGGUAACGGCUUACCAAGGCAACGAUGCGUAGCCGACCUGAGAGGGUGAUCGGCCACACUGGAACUGAGACACGGUCCAGACUCCUACGGGAGGCAGCAGUAGGGAAUCUUCCGCAAUGGGCGAAAGCUUGACGGAGCAACGCCGCGUGAGUGAUGAAGGUCUUCGGAUCGUAAAACUCUGUUAUUAGGGAAGAACAAAUGUGUAAGUAACUAUGCACGUCUUGACGGUACCUAAUCAGAAAGCCACGGCUAACUACGUG